rnacentral:lncRNA from 1 species
GCGAAGCGGCAGGUAUGAAGCAACUGAAACUUUCUUGUUUUGAUAUGGAUUAUAACCAGAUUUUUCUUGAAUUAGUAAGGUAUAUAUAUAUAAAUUUUGAAAUAGUAGUGCGCAGGUGUAGUAUUGAUUUUUUCCUUUUAGAAUUUUGCGGGAUGAAUCAAUUAUUUUGAUUGGUUGUUACCCCCAUGAUUAUCAUAAGGAGAGGAUUAACUAGGUUAAUUAAUUGGAAUAUAGCAGCAGGGAAUAAUGUUACUUUUUCUUCAUAGGUGUUCUCGUUUAAAGAUUUGUUUUUAAUUAAUUAUUAUGAAAAAAUGAAAUUAGGAUAGAUCUGCAAGGUUUUCUGUUCUUUCCUUUUCUUGUUGAGAAAAUAUAGUGAAUGGUGGGGGCCAAUAGUUAGGCAAUCAUUGCCAAUGAUUGUUAAUUGGUAAUGACAUUUUAGAAUUUGUCACUUUGUUUACGUAAUGGAUUUUAGACGACUUGCAGUGCUUUGCGCUGUUAACUAAUAGAAUUGUUCUUAUUUUAUUUAUUUACCAAAUCAAGAUACUAGCUUUUGAUAUAUUGAGAUAGGUAGUUAAUUAUUAGAUGUAUAUUAUAUGAUCUAACAUUUAAUUCUAGAGUAGUUAGAGAGGUUAAAGUUAAAUUCUUGACAUGAAAUUUAGCAAAUAUGAUAAAUUUGGCAUACAAAUUUUAUCAAGGCUUGGAGCUAGAUUAGAAAUAUGAGUGAGUUUUAGGGUCUACGAUAGACAUAUAAUGAUUUGAUACAAACUCGCUUACUUACGAAUAAUUGCAUCAUUGGUAGAUCGUGAAUGUUCCGAAACCUUGCGAAAAGGAAAGGAAAAAUCUUAAAAGAUUCGUGGCACAAGUUCGGCAUCUAAGGUAUGUUAAGACUUUUUAGACUUGUUGAAGGACGUUUUCCUAAUUAAAGAUUAAAAAUGGAAAUAGACAAAGGGGUAAGGGAAAAAAAUGGUGGUCUCGUAUCAAUGGUGUGACGGGCAUUGGUACGAGUACCGAUGUUAUAAAAAAGAAAAUUACUAUUAUAGAAUGUGGAUUGAAAUUUGAGAAUGCCAAAGCAUAUGGGCAUUAGCUGAUAUAUUAUUGACUUGAAUUCCUUGUGUGAUUGUGUUUUAUUUAUUUCAUCCGUAUAGUUGUGAUAUUUGAGGUGGGUAUGUAUUAUGUUCAUAUUGAUUGAUUGAGAUGCAUCAUCAUCCCCUCUAUUGAAAUAAUAUUGUGCACAUGCAUAGACGUGAGACUGAGUAUAAGUUGGGCACGUGGAGAUCGUCCGUGCUGGGGAUGGUGAGAUGUUAAGAUUGUAAUUUGGGCACGUGGAGACCGUCCGUGCGAAAAUUAUUUGAUAUUAUAUUAGUGCGUUGAGAUCGUCCGCACAGACACGUGGAGAUCGUCCGUGUCGGUAUAUGGACCUCGCGAGUCCGCCAUGGGUCAUGAGCUCUAGAUGUAUUUCUGAGGAGUAUCAUGUAUAUACGGUUGAGUGAGUACUGGGUAUUCUGAGCCAUAUCAUUACAUGGCAUCAUAUUGCAUUGCAUUUCAUCCCAUCAUUCAUUCUUGAUGACUAUAUGUUUCGUUUGGUGUUUGGAAAAUAUUAAAUGUUGAUUUCCUUUAUUGAUGAAACUUG